GACCAGUGAGUGUUUCAUCUCUCCAGAGGCAUCCCAGGAUAGAGACAGGCAGAUCCAGAGAACACCUUCCCUUGGUCACCUUAGAGAUACAGAAUGCCAGUUCCAAGAGGCCUUUUCUUUGCCCAGAUGUGGGGUCUCUGCAUCUUCCAUUCUAGGAAAUGAGACCCAGUUCUCUGCCUCUGACACCAAGUAUCACAGAUCAAACCAGCUGCAUCUUGAACAAAUGGCCAUGAAAGAUGGAGGUUUCAGCCUGACUUAUUUGACUAUUCACCAUCUCUUUAAUAACACACCAGGUGGAACCAAACACACCCAUCCAAAAAGAUCUGUGUAUACCUAUGUUGAUAGCAGUACAAUUCAUAACAGCUAAAACCUGGAAGCAAGCCGGGUGUCCAACAACAGAUGAGUGGCUGAGAAUCCCAGGAAAAACCAUCUAGACCUCUGCACACUUUGACAUCGCCCACUAGACGGCAUGACUACAGGGGCACAUCCCCGAAACCCAUAAUAUGACCUGACACGAUCUGAAGAACCUGAUUCACAGACUCCAAAGAACAGAACUUUCUUACUGCAUGUCUGCCCUUCCUGCUUCUGCUUUGCCUGUCACGUUUUGGCAGUUCCAGCUCACUUUCUACAGAAAAGUGGAAUUCCAGUGGCUGACCUUCCCCAUGGAGAUAGACAUGCAGUGUUUCAUCCCUUGGCAUUUCUCCCCCUAGUCACCUACUUUGGACUGAGACUUCUAUUGGACUUGCUAGUA